GACGAACGCUGGCGGCGUGCUUAACACAUGCAAGUCGAACGGAAAGGCCCUGCUUGCCGGGUGCUCGAGUGGCGAACGGGUGAGUAACACGUGGGUGAUCUGCCCCUUACUUUGGGAUAAGCCUGGGAAACUGGGUCUAAUACUGGAUAGGACCAUGCUGUAGGUGGUGUGGUGGAAAGAUUAGUUUCGGUAAGGGAUGAGCUCGCGGCCUAUCAGCUUGUUGGUGGGGUAAUGGCCUACCAAGGCGUCGACGGGUAGCCGGCCUGAGAGGGUGGACGGCCACAUUGGGACUGAGAUACGGCCCAGACUCCUACGGGAGGCAGCAGUGGGGAAGAUUGCACAAUGGGCGCAAGCCUGAUGCAGCGACGCCGCGGGGGGGAUGACGGCCUUCGGGUUGUAAACUCCUUUCAGCCAUGACGAAGCCCUUGUGGUGACGGUAGUGGUAGAAGAAGCACCGGCUAACUACGUG
rnacentral:rRNA from 1 species